GACGAACGCUGGCGGCGCGCCUAACACAUGCAAGUCGAACGAGCGAGAGAGAGCUUGCUUUCUCGAGCGAGUGGCGAACGGGUGAGUAACGCGUGAGGAACCUGCCUCAAAGAGGGGGACAACAGUUGGAAACGACUGCUAAUACCGCAUAAGCCCACGACCCGGCAUCGGGUAGAGGGAAAAGGAGCAAUCCGCUUUGAGAUGGCCUCGCGUCCGAUUAGCUAGUUGGUGAGGUAACGGCCCACCAAGGCGACGAUCGGUAGCCGGACUGAGAGGUUGAACGGCCACAUUGGGACUGAGACACGGCCCAGACUCCUACGGGAGGCAGCAGUGGGGAAUAUUGCACAAUGGGGGAAACCCUGAUGCAGCGACGCCGCGUGGAGGAAGAAGGUCUUCGGAUUGUAAACUCCUGUUGUUGAGGAAGAUAAUGACGGUACUCA
rnacentral:rRNA from 1 species